rnacentral:misc_RNA from 1 species
UCAAACUUGGUCAUUUAGAGGAAGUAAAAGUCGUAACAAGGUUUCCGUAGGUGAACCUGCGGAAGGAUCAUUAACAAUUGUCCAACAUGGAUAAUUUUAUAUCCAUAUCCACCUUGUGUGAAUCAUUGAAGCGUUUGUUGGCAGGUUUUCAGGCUCGUUGAGCCUGUGGGAGUUCGACAUAAUUUGUUUGUCUGCUCGGGCUGCCAAUUUUAUUAUGUUUAAAACAUGUCUAAACACUGCUUGUCUGAAAUUGUUUUUGUAAUAAAUAAAUACAACUUUCAACAACGGAUCUCUUGGCUCUCGCAUCGAUGAAGAACGCAGC